rnacentral:rRNA from 1 species
GGACGAACGCUGGCGGCGUGCUUAACCCAUGCAAGUCGAACGGAAAGGCCCUGCUUUUGUGGGGUGCUCGAGUGGCGAACGGGUGAGUAACACGAGAGUAACCUGCCCUUGACUUUGGGAUAACUUCAGGAAACUGGGGCUAAUACCGGAUAGGAGCUCCUGCUGCCUGGUGGGGGUUGGAAAGUUUCGGCGGUUGGGGAUGGACUCGCGGCUUAUCAGCUUGUUGGUGGGGUAGUGGCUUACCAAGGCUUUGACGGGUAGCUGGCCUGAGAGGGUGACCGGCCACAUGGGGACUGAGAUACGGCCCAGACUGCUACGGGAGGCAGCAGUGGGGAAUAUUGCACAAUGGGCGGAAGCCUGAUGCAGCAACGCCGCGUGCGGGAUGACGGCCUUCGGGUUGUAAACCGCUUUCGCCUGUGACGAAGCGUGAGUGACGGUAAUGGGUAAAGAAGCACCGGCUAACUACGUG